rnacentral:rRNA from 1 species
GCACAACGCGAAGAACCUUACCCGGGUUUGAACGUAGGGAGACAGGGUGGAACAUCCUUUUCAGCAAUGACUGCCUACGAGGUGCUGCAUGGUUGUCGUCAGCUCGUGCCGUGAGGUGUCGGCUUAAGUGCCAUAACGAGCGCAACCCUUAUUUCCAGUUACUAACAGGUGAUGCUGAGGACUCUGGAGAGACUGCCAGCGUAAGCUGUGAGGAAGGUGGGGAUGACGUCAAAUCAGCACGGCCCUUACAUCCGGGGCGACACACGUGUUACAAUGGUAAGGACAAAGGGCAGCUACCGGGCGACCGGAUGCGAAUCUCUAAACCUUAUCUCAGUUCGGAUCGGAGUCUGCAACUCGACUCCGUGAAGCUGGAUUCGCUAGUAAUCGCGCAUCAGCCAUGGCGCGGUGAAUACGUUCCCGGGUCUUGUACACACCG